rnacentral:rRNA from 1 species
GACUAACGCUGGCGGCGUGCCUAACACAUGCAAGUCGAACGAAGCAGCAAUGCUUAGUGGCAGACGGGUGAGUAACGCGUAGAUAAUGUGCCCUCUUGCGGGGGAUACCGUUUCGAAAGGAACGUUAAUACCGCAUAAAGUCCUUAGAAGGCAUCUUUUAGGGACCAAGCUUCCGGGGCGGGAGGAGCAAUCUGCGUACUAUCAGCUAGUUGGUGAGGUAAUGGCUCACCAAGGCUACGACGGUUAACUGGUCUGAGAGGAUGAUCAGUCACACUGGAACUGAGACACGGUCCAGACUCCUACGGGAGGCAGCAGUGAGGAAUAUUGCACAAUGGGCGAAAGCCUGAUGCAGCGACGCCGCGUGGAGGAUGAAGGGAUUUCGGUCUGUAAACUCCUGUCAGUAAGGAAGAGAAUGGACGGUACCUACUGAGGAAGCUUCGGCUAACUACGUG